UAAAUACUUCCUCCGUCCGGAAAUACUUGUCAUAGGGAUGCAUGUACCUAGAUGUAUUUUAGUUCUAGGUACAUCAUUUUUUAUCAAUUUGUGUGACAAGUAAUUUCGGACGGAGGGAGUAACUG
rfam:Hordeum vulgare subsp. vulgare, WGS project CAJW01000000 data, contig: morex_contig_365592